ensembl:lncRNA novel transcript, antisense to TRIM25
GAACAAAUAGCAUUUUGUACCCGCACUACAAUGCAGGAGAACGCCAAACACCGCUUUAUUGCAUUCAAACCUUCUAAGAGGAAUCGGGCACUCAUGACUUCACUUCCCAGAGCUCUGCCCAGCUGCCCAGCAGCCUGGAGAUUUCCAGAACAAUGGGGAGUAGGUCACCCUGCCCUGAUAGGCACCAGGGGGUGGAAACGCCUCCUCGCCCACAACACAAUCACUCUCACCCCUUUCCUGGCUAAAUCCCACCUCCCACCCUCCCGCCAGCUCCCCUCCCAUGCUCCCAAUCCUUGGGACCUCUUGGGGAAUUAUCCAAGGAGAGUUCUGCCUGCUGUAUUUUCACUAGGGUCUUGGGACUUCUGCAGGCAGUCAGCCCAAGUGCCUACAGCCUGCCUACUUGGGGGAGCAGAUGGAGAGUGUGGCACCAGCAGAAAAUACCCAGAAAGCCGGGUACAAAGCCUCAGUAAAGUCCACCCUGAACUUAUACAUCAGGUGGACCUUGUCGGCAACAGCGAAGAAGAUGACAAAGCCGUGG